rnacentral:lncRNA from 1 species
UCGCCCGACGAUGACCUUAGUUGAAGAAAAAUCUUGGCCAUUUGAGAAGGGAAGGCUAACCCUAGAGGACCCUCAAAGCCUUCAGACCAACCAUGGGCUGAAGGCUUUCGGAUGACCAAAAAAUAAGAAAAAAUCCUAAAGGACCCUCGGAGAGCCCCUCAUUCGAUGGUAAGCUGAGUUGAAGAAAAAUUUUGACCGUUCGAGAAGUAAGGACUAACCUCAAGGGACCCUUGAAGCCCAC